UACGGAGGAUCCGAGCGUUAUCCGGAUUUAUUGGGUUUAAAGGGUGCGUAGGCGGCCUAUUAAGUCAGGGGUGAAAUACGGUGGCUCAACCAUCGCAGUGCCUUUGAUACUGAUGGGCUUGAAUCCAUUUGAAGUGGGCGGAAUAAGACAAGUAGCGGUGAAAUGCAUAGAUAUGUCUUAGAACUCCGAUUGCGAAGGCAGCUCACUAAGCUGGUAUUGACGCUGAGGAGCGAAAGCGUGGGGAGCGAACAGG
rnacentral:rRNA from 1 species